rnacentral:misc_RNA from 1 species
UCCUGGUUAACCCAGGCAGUCUCAUUAGAGUUCCCACCAUUACGUGUUGGCAACUAAUGACAAGGGUUGCGCUCGUUGCGGGACUUAACCCAACACCUCACGGCACGAGCUGACGACAGCCAUGCAGCACCUGUGCAAAGGCUCCGAAGAGAGGCAUCGUUUCUGAUGCUGUCCUUUGCAUGUCAAGCCUAGGUAAGGUUCUUCGCGUUGCAUCGAAUUAAACCACAUGCUCCACUGCUUGUGCGGGUCCCCGUCAAUUCUUUUGAGUUUCAGCCUUGCGACUGUACUCCUCAGGCGGUAUACUUAACGCGUUUGCUACGGCACAGCCGGGGUUGAGUCCAGCUACACCUAGUAUACAUGGUUUAGGGCAAGGACUAC